AUACGGAGGGGGCUAGCGUUGUUCGGAAUUACUGGGCGUAAAGCGUACGCAGGCGGAUAUUUAAGUUAGAGGUGAAAUCCCAGGGCUCAACCCUGGAACUGCCUUUAAAACUGGGUAUCUAGAGUUAUGGAGAGGUAAGUGGAAUUCCUAGUGUAGAGGUGAAAUUCGUAGAUAUUAGGAGGAACACCAGAGGCGAAGGCGGCUUACUGGACAUAUACUGACGCUGAGGUACGAAAGUGUGGGGAGCGAACGGGAUUAGAAACCCCAGUAGUCC
rnacentral:rRNA from 1 species